CAGUAGCCGCGGGAAUACGAAGGGUGCAAGCGUUACUCGGAAUCACUGGGCGUAAAGCGUGCGUAGGCGGCUUUUUAAGUCGGAUGUGAAAUCCCUGAGCUUAACUUAGGAAUUGCAUUCGAUACUGGGAAGCUAGAGUAUGGGAGAGGAUGGUAGAAUUCCAGGUGUAGCGGUGAAAUGCGUAGAGAUCUGGAGGAAUACCGAUGGCGAAGGCAGCCAUCUGGCCUAAUACUGACGCUGAGGUACGAAAGCAUGGGGAGCAAACAGGAUUAGAUACCCCCGUAGUCCCUGUCUCUUAUAC
rnacentral:rRNA from 1 species